GGGUGGUUCGGUGGUAGAGCACGUGCUUAGCACGCACGAGGUCCUGGGUUCAAUCCCCGGCACCUCCA
rnacentral:tRNA from 1 species